rnacentral:rRNA from 1 species
CCUACGGGGGGCUGCAGUGGGGAAUAUUGGACAAUGGGGGCAACCCUGAUCCGGCCAUGCCGCGUGUGUGAAGAAGGCCCUCGGGUUGUAAAGCACUUUCAGUGAGGAAGAACGCCUGGUGGUUAAUACCCAUCAGGAAAGACAUCACUCACAGAAGAAGCACCGGCUAACUCCGUGCCAGCAGCCGCGGUAAUACGGAGGGUGCGAGCGUUAAUCGGAAUUACUGGGCGUAAAGCGCGCGUAGGUGGCUUGAUAAGCCGGUUGUGAAAGCCCCGGGCUCAACCUGGGAACGACAUCCGGAACUGUCAAGCUAGAGUGCAGGAGAGGAAGGUAGAAUUCCCGGUGUAGCGGUGAAAUGCGUAGAGAUCGGGAGGAAUACCAGUGGCGAAGGCGGCCUUCUGGACUGACACUGACACUGAGGUGCGAAAGCGUGGGUAGCAAACAGGAUUAGAUACCCGAGUAGUC